AGAGAGUUGAACGGAUUGAAAUAGCUGAGCAAUUAUUUUCUCUAUGGCGGGAGGGAGAUAUCAGGAAAUUAAUUUGCCAAGAUGUUGUUAAGGGUAUUUUGGUCUAUUCAUGCUUAUUUUUGGAUAAAAACAGAUAACUUUACAUAAGUGGUUAUUUCUAAAAUUACUUUAUGAGGAAGGUUAUUUUUCACAAUUUUCUCUAGAGAAAAUGUAACCAGUUAUGCAAUUGAUAUGUAAUUAUGUUAGUUAUUGAAUUUUGAAUGAGAAAUACCAUCAUCACUAUGAUGCAAUUGAC
rnacentral:lncRNA from 1 species